rnacentral:rRNA from 1 species
GUGGGGAAUAUUGGACAAUGGGGGGAACCCUGAUCCAGCCAUGCCGCGUGUGUGAAGAAGGCCUUUUGGUUGUAAAGCACUUUAAGCGAGGAGGAGGCUACCGAGAUUAAUACUCUUGGAUAGUGGACGUUACUCGCAGAAUAAGCACCGGCUAACUCUGUGCCAGCAGCCGCGGUAAUACAGAGGGUGCAAGCGUUAAUCGGAUUUACUGGGCGUACAGCGCGCGUAGGUGGCCAAUUAAGUCAAAUGUGAAAUCCCCGGGCUUAACUUGGGAAGUGCAUUCGAUACUGGUUGGCUAGAGUAUGGGAGAGGAUGGUAGAAUUCCAGGUGUAGCGGUGAAAUGCGUAGAGAUCUGGAGGAAUACCGAUGGCGAAGGCAGCCAUCUGGCCUAAUACUGACACUGAGGUGCGAAAGCAUGGGGAGCAAACAGGAUUAGAAACCCUGGUAGUCC